rnacentral:lncRNA from 1 species
CUAUUUUAUGGAAUUUUGUGAUUGUUUUCAAAAAUCAUUUAAUAUUUUAGCAAUUCUGCAUUAUAAAAAAAUAAAGAAAAAAUUAAAUUUCAUAAAUUCUCUAGAAUGUUUUCACUGCACUAAGCUCCCAGAUGAUAAAUCGUCCUUCGAGAGAGAAAAAUCUGGAUAUGUACGCCAAACAAUUAUUUUUUAUUAUUAUCAUUUUUCUUUACGUCGGAUUUUCGAUCCAUGCGAUAAAAAUUUUUAAAAAUACACUAAAUUUCAAAUUAUUAUUAUUAUUAUUAUGUUUACGUAAAAUGCGG